GAGCGCGAGAAGUCGAAGUGAGGAGUAGAAACCGUUGUUAAUGUUAAUUCUGGCCCGUUUGGACCCAAACUAAAGUGUAUCAGUAUGAAGCAGGCGGAGACGGCGCACUGAUUCACUCUCAGAGCUCGAUUCACUAAUGACCGAAUCACCGAGGAACCGACCAAAGAUAACUCACACCCUCACGGAGAAGAAGAACAAGAGGAGGAGAAGAUGAGCUGGAGUGGGGCAAAGAGAACUGCAUUCAGAUCAAACGGAUACAAGAGGUGGCCGAGUUGUUUGAGGAUCUGAAGAAUUGAGUGUCACAAUUCAACAUGCACAUCAGCGAAACUUCUCCCUCUGACUACACCAGCACGCACACACAGAAAUUCAUAGUGCAGGUGGUGAUUGCAGGCGCAUUUUAUCCGAACUGCUUCCUCCAGGGAACUGUGGACGAGGAGCUCGCCUCCAAGGAACUCUAUGGAAACGACCCCAGGACCACCAUAGUGGUGUGUAAUCUCCCUCCAUUUGCAUUCCUCUACUAUAAACAGCUCCAGUCUCUCUUCAGACACUGUGAUUAAGUCAAAUCCAUCUCCUUUGACAGCUCCAGGAGUGUGUGACACCACUGUGUGUGUGUGUGUUUAAUUGUGAUUUUCUAUAAACAUGUAUUGUGGGUCUGUGUGUAUCAGGGCCUAUGUAGAGUUCUACCGCUCGUCAAUGAGAGGUUCUGGCGUUCUCCCAGAGGUCUCUCUGUCUCUCCUCCUCACGCAGCAGAGACUUCCUCUCCAUCUCAACGUUUAACCCGCUGGAGAGGUGGAGACUUGGGCAGGGGGGUAGUGUAUCUCACACCUCAGAUAUACACGGGUGAAUGUGGAUAUUCAGAAUCGGUCAGUGAGCCCUGUCGGGGUUCUGAGCAGCUCCAUUGAGAAUCUUCCGUCUAACCCUGUCUUUAUCGUCAAUAUCACCGAGGUCAUCGAAGUGGGGCAUUUCUGGGGUUUCCAGGCUCACGAGGCAAGUCUGGAGAAACAGGGGUGGCUGACAGUGGCCGUUAAUACACGGGCGCUCUGCCCACUUCCUGUCUCACUUUAUCCAAAUCUUCUGUCUUGCCCCUUUCUCUGAAACUCACACCAAACCUGGGAACUACUACAGAGCCAAAAUACUGCAUGUCAUGGGGAGUAAUGUGGAGGUGUUCUUUGUGGACUUUGGAAACACUUCCAAAAUGCCAUGUAACUCUCUGGAACUUCCUGCUGACCGGCAAGCUCUGCCCUUUCAGGCUCAGGAGUUCAGCGUGGCGUGUUUGGCAUCAUCGGCACAGUCAGUCAAGAAGUCAGUGUUACAGACUGCAGUUCAUAGAAACCUCUUCACGGCUAAAGCUGCAGAGAUGGAGGUCGAGGGGACCAUGAAGAGGCGGCUCCAGCUGGCAUCAGAUCGAGAGUGUGGGCGCAAGAGCAGACUUUUGAUAAAGGAGGGUAUUUACAGUGUUUUAACUGGUGUGUUUUUUGCGCUAUUAUUAAUUUGUUAAAAUGUUCAUAUUAUAGUCUAUUUUUAAUUGUUUAUAAAAGUCCUUGCUGUUUUUAAGUGGCUGAAUUAGUGUGUGUGCACGCGUGUGUGUGUGCGUGUUGGUAGCUGGGUGGGUAUAUAGUUCUGGUCGGAAGUUGACAUACCCCUUGCAGGAGAAAGAGACCCUGUGUAAUCUGUUUAAACGACUUUUACGCAUGUUUUGCAGAGAGAUCAUUUUCACCUUGCUGUUUGGGUCUCUGUCCCACACUGUUACAGUGCAGUAUUGAGAGCGCGCGAGGGAGAUCGAUUUUCUAUCAGAAACAGUAACUAUAUAAAAUGGACGUCAACACGCAGCACUCUGUGAGGUCAUUUCUCGCUCUCAACAGAGUAGUUGUGAUUGUUCAGUGUUUACGACGGGGCCAAAACAUUCAAGGCCAUGGUGUAUUUUGACUGUUCCUGUAGCAUAAUCUCACCAAACUGUGUGUACACGAGUCCACAGACACUGAGUCUAUUCACAGCUCCAUGCUGUGUAGAUGUUCUGCUCAUCCUCACUGUACCGUAAAGGUCAGAACCUCACAUCUGUAACCUUGUAGCUUUCCUUAAUCAACACGACUGCGACCAAGCUUGUGUGUCACUACUAUUUUUAGAUCUCCGCCUCUCAAAAGUAUUGGCGCCCUGCGCGUCCGCCUCUCAAAUCUAUUGGCGCCCUAUGCGGCCGGCUCUCAAAUCUAUCGCCGCCCUACGCGGCCGGCUCUCAAAUGUAUUGGCGCCCUACGCGUCCGGCUCUCAAAACUAUUGGUGCCCUUAGUGUCGGCUCUCAAAAGUAUUGGCGCCCUUCACGGGCAGCUCUCAAAAGUAUUGGCACCCGAUCCAAAUUUUGCCACAACAAGCACCACUCACAUUUUCUUCAGGAAAUGUCCCUUAAAAUAAUAAAAGGUCUCUCACUAGGCUGUGUGUCGAGAUAAACGUAAAAACAUCUUGAGCUUGUGUUCACCACAGACCUUAUUUCCGGCAUUUAACCCAAAACCCCAUUGACGGAAGUGCUAAUACGCUGAAUCGUUUCUGGGUUUCACGACUCAUUCCUGCAGCACUCUGUAAGACGGGCUGUUGUUAUCAAACCAUCGAAGUAAGAUAAGCGGCUUUGGUAAUGAUUCUUUAAAUGAACCGAUUCAGAAUCCUCUUCUUGAAUCGUUUGAGUCGUUCUCACUCGGUCAGGGUUGCACGUGUGGGUUGCUUUUCCUGCACGUGUAAUCAGCACGUGUUCACAGACCGUAAAUCCCGACCCCAUGGUAGACACUCGACAGAAAUUUCAUACUAAAGUUGUGUUUGAGUUGUGCAGGCUUGUGUCACCUGACUUAAAGAAGGCAUUGUUUGAAGGGCUUGAUCAGCACCUCCCACGGCUCCUGCAGUUGUACAACACCGAGAGGCAGUGAAAUACCCGAAAUCCAACAUGUGAUGACCCGCAUUGAUCAAGAGGCAGAGGAAGCUCAGCGAAAGCUUAAGAGACAGAAUGGAGAGGACCCAGCCCUGCCUCCAUUCUGCCCACUGUUUGCCAGCUUGGGAAACAUUCUGCAGUGUGACGUGCUGCUUGGCAUGCUGGGAGCUGUGCUGCAGUGGGCUAUGGAGCCCAGGGAGGACACUGGUCUGAGUCCAUGCUGCAGAGGGUGCUGCACUUGAUAGGCAUGGCUCUGCUGGAGGAGCAGCAACAGCUAGAGAACAUUGGGGAUGACGAUGAAGUUACUUUCAACUUCACCCUCAAAAUCUCCCGUCCCGGUGAACCCCCCGGCAACACUACAAGCAUCCUGGCUCUUUUAGAGACCUUGCAGUGCACGCCUCACUUGGAAGUGCACAAAGACAUGAUUCGCUGGAUCCUUAAAGUGAAAUUACAUCUUGAUUAUGUUUUCAAUUUGCCUUACUCUCUCUAUGCGUGCACCUAAUAUGUCCACCAGGUGGCAGCCUAGCAUGUUUUGCAAUUCGCUCACUGAAGGUAGGUGCAACAUACAAAAGAUGAGCGUUUUUAUCAUGAAGUUUAAAGCAGUGCUGCAUCAAGACCUGUUUGAAAUCCAAGCAGUGCAACACCACUCAAGGUGGCGUGGCCGGUAGGCAAAGCAGCACCUCUCACCACGGUGAAGCACAAAUGCUUCACUGUCCCAAAGCGGUUUUGCUGCUGAUCAUCUGUAGGUGGCCCUAGGGGUGUUUUGAUGUGGAUUAUUGUGCGUGUUACUUAAAAGCUGUAUGUCAACAUGAAUAUUUAAAUGACAUGUAAGGAUUGCUUACUACACAAACUGAAUUUCAAUGCACUGUGAUGUGUGCAUUUUAUUUUCCAUAUAGUGAAAACUGUCAGGACACCUGCACCAGGCAGA